UCCAAUUGGCUUUGGCAUAUAGAUCAGUAUGAUAAAUUGAGCCCUUUUGGGAUAUAUAUCAGUGGAUGCAUUGAUGGGUUUUCCCGCUAUGUGCUUUGGGUGGAAGCUGGUGUCAGCAAUAAAAACCCCAAAAAGAUUGCAGGGUACUUUUUGAAGACUUUGGAGAAUGUUAAAGG